rnacentral:lncRNA from 1 species
GAGCGAGAAGGGACAAGUGCGGCCCGGAGGCGAUCUGUGCGCGAGGAGGCGCUGUGAAGACUGAGGCACAGCCCCUCCGAGGAAAGCCGAGAUUGUACGUUUCCUUGCCGGCUGAGCCGCGGCUCGUCCCCCGGAGCGACACAAAGAAGAAGUGGCCUUGCAUCCUGCUCCGCCUCCCGAGCCGGGUCCUUGGUCCCCGGAAGCCCUGGGCUGCCCCACUGGAGUUACCUUCUGUGCGUUCUCUCCUAAACCUACACGUUAUUCACGACUUUGUUCAUGACUAUGGAAAACAAAACAAAAACAAAAACCAAACCAAAGUUCCCUCGCCUGGCGAUGGUGCAAGCCUGUCUACCUGCUGGAGGAUGGGCUGGGAUCACAGGCGUGUGCCGGCUUGUCUACCUACCUCCAGCUCGACGGCUAAAAGACCUUCUCUUUUACAUCAAGAAAUUAAAAAAAAAAAAAAAAUUCCAUGGGCAUAUGUGCACUUGUAGAGGCGAGAAGCCCUUGGAGCUGGGGUUACAGAAGGCUCUGAGCUGCCCGCUGUGUGCAGAGGCCGGAACUCGGAUGCACAGGAAGAGCAGGACGCGCUCUCAACCCCUGGGUCAUCUCCUCAGUUCACUCAAUUCAUUUUUAAGCAAGUGCUCUGGGCUGCCCCCCAGAACCUCUGCUCCUGUGUCUUCUCACCUUCAAGGUCAACUAGAACCACUCCUCAUCCCUUCCUAAGGGCCCAAGCCUCCAGUGCAGCCUCGGCGACCUCACUUUCCCUGGGGGCCAGGAGAGGGCUUCUCAUCUUAUCCCAGCAGGGGUUAUGAUAGGCCAAGGCCACAAGGAAUGGGGACAGAGCUGGAGACUUGAUGCCUGAUCCCCUCUUACCUGCAGCACCGAGAGGUUGGUCUGUCCAGAGAGACUUAGCUUCUCCUGCUCUGAGGGGUAGGCGUUGUAGCGGUGCAGAUAGAGCCAGUCCCGGAGGAUCUUUACUGACUCCUUGGGCAGGUUCCCUCUGCGCUUCCUCUUGCCGGUCAGUGACAGGAGCCCCUCAUCCUCGCCUAGAUCGCUGUCCGACAUGAUGCUUAGGGGCUAAGCUGGACCUCUGGGGAGCCUGGGACAAGUGACAAAGGGGAUGGGGAGAACAUUAUCACUUAGUGCCUGUCCCCCUUGCCUUAGUCUCCUAGUGAGUUCACCCUCACAAGCAGGGGUCAUAGUCUCAAACCCUGGACAGUAGCACCAGAGCCUGAGCAAGCUGGAUGAAUCCUAAAUGCCACGAUUCAUGGAACCAAGAGGGACCACUGGGACGUAGGUGGCGCCUUUUAAAAACAGAAGAGGACUAGAAAGAACUACGGCUUCAUCCUGUGGUUCUGAGACAGCAUCUCACUCACUCCAUAGCCCAGGCAAUCUUCCUGCUUCUGCCUCCUCAGUGCCAAUUCUCAGCUUGGAUUCUGUUUGCCAGGCUGUCCUGGAAACUUAGCAUCUAUUACCUCACUUAACUCUUUUGCAAUCUGCUAAAAGGGGAAACUUGCACUCUCACUACUACCUAGCUACUCAAGAGAAAUGCACACCUGGCCCCUCGCAGAAGCCCAACGUUCAAAGGGUGGAAACGAUCCAGAGAGAUCUUCAACAGAUGGCCGAACAAACGAGCUAUUUGGUCAUAAAAAGAAAUACCGUGGGCCUGGAGAGAUGGCUAGGUGGUUAAGAGCACUGGCUGCUGCACUUCCAGGGGACCUGGCUCGGCUCCCAGCACUCACAUGGUAGCUCACAGCCACCAUAACUCCCAGUUCCAGGGAAUCCAGUGCCUUCUUGUCACCUCCAUGGACAUCUACGUGGUGUAGACACACUCGCACGUAGGCAAAACAUUCAUACACAUAAAACCAAACAAAUUAUAAAAGAGAGAGCACACUUCUGAUGUGUGCUAUGACAUGGAUGGACCUUGAGCACAUGCUCCGGGAGAAGAGGCCGGCCAUGAAAGCCCACUGUUACACGGUCCCAUGUACGAAGGGAUGCGCUCAACAGGCUGCUCACUCUACAGAGCUAGCUGUUCAGCAGUUAGUUAGGGAGGGGGAGGGGAGAAGGAUUUUAGAAUGUUUUAGUUAAAAUUUUAUUAUAUAUACAUAUAUAAAAUAUCCUUUGACC